rnacentral:tRNA from 1 species
AGCAAGAUGGCCGAGUUUCAGGCAGAAGAUUGUAGCUCUUCCAACGGGAUAAUUUUCCUCUUGUUA